AAUUCCUAUUUCUACGGUUGCAUCGGAAUCGGCUUUUAGUGUUGGAGGGAGAGUAUUAGAUCAAUAUCGUAGUUCGUUAUUGCCUGAAAUUGUUCAAGCUUUGUUGUGUACUCGAGAUUGGCUUUUUGGCAAAGGAGCCAUGGAGGAAGAGAUAGAAAUCCUUACUGAAGAUGUCUUCAAACUUAAUUGUGAAGAUACUAGAUCGGGACAAUGCUCCAAUAGUAUUUCUCUUGAUGAUUGAUGUGAGGAACAUUGCAAGUGAAAUGUUGAAGUCUGGAUCACAUUCAUGGAUGCUAUACAUGUUGUUUUCUUUUUUGUUAUCUCAAGUUUGGUGUAAAUGUUUAAUAUAUUUUUAGUUUUUUUUUGGGAAUGUUAAUGAUCUUUUUGGGCAUGUAUAAUAUAAUGUGUUGUUUGGAAC